rnacentral:lncRNA from 1 species
GUCAUUUUACCUCUGGGGAAUAAACAUUUAUUAAAGGCACGGCUAGUGAUGUGAGAAAGUUCAUAGCUUAAGAGCUUGUACUUGAACUUCACUUAAGGAGGGAACCGUCUUUGAUCAGGAAAGUCUUCUGUUAGAUGAAUCACCUGGGGCAAGGCGAGCCCUGAAAGACAAGGAUGACAGAAACUGCAGAGAUAAAGGAUUCGGCACAUUUCAGGAGCAUUUCCAACGAGAUGAGGAAGUGGCAAUCAGAGAAGGAGAAGACAGGAUGGGAUCAAUCAAGAAAACCUGGAGCAGAGAGGAAUACUGAGCCAGAACAAGGUUGUAUGAGAGAUAGGUUUCAGAGUGUUUAUCAG